rnacentral:rRNA from 1 species
CCCUUAGAUGUCCUGGGCCGCACGCGCGCUACACUGACAUGUUCAACAAGUUUCUCCUAGUUCGACAGGACUGGGAAAUCUUUGAACGCAUGUCGUGAUAGGGAUAGAUCAUUGCAAUUAUUGAUCUUGAACGAGGAAUUCCUAGUAAACGCAAGUCAACAACUUGCAUUGAUUACGUCCCUGCCCUUUGUACACACCGCCCGUCGCUCCUACCGAUUGAGCAUCCCGGUGAAGACUCAAGAGAUGUGCGUGCGGCUGGUUUCCAGCUGCGCCGCGCGUCGAAUUUGUCUAAACCUUGAUGCUUAGAGGAAGGAGAAGUCGUAACA